CAGCCCGUCCCAGCGCACGUCGCCCUCCCGCUCCUCCGUGGAGCCCCCCCGCCGCCUCAGCAGCCCCGCGGCGGAUGCCCCACGGCGGAGCCGCGGCAGCCGACCCGCCCCCGAGGAGCACGAGCCCGCAGCCCUCUGCCCGCGCCGCAUCGGCGGGGGAGCGGCGCCGCCAACGGCCGCCGACCGCCGCUCAACGGCCGCCACCGCCGCGGGGGCUUCUGGGGUGAGUGUGAAGUUGUGGCCAGAGGGAUUUCCUAUUCCUAAGGUGACCUGGUGGACACCAACUUUCCUAGUAAAUUGCUGACGUUGCUGAGGAGGCAGCAGUAGCAAAGCCCUUGUUGAUGAAGAUACAGCAAGUCUGGGGAGGCUUUGGCAUUUCUCUGCAAUGCUGCUCCCUGAUUGUGACCCGACUCAGAUUCUGAAUGAAGCAAAGCAAGCUAGAGGAAAGCUUAUCCCAAACUCCAUAUUAUAGCUGAUCUUCAUCUCUGAUCUUAAAAGCUUCACAGGCCGAAAGAGAAUUGAGAUGAGGAAGGAAACAGAGAAUGCUGAUGAAUAUUUCCAAUUACCACCCCAGCUUAUGUCUUGGCUCUUCACAUCAAGCCAGAGCAGUUUCUUUGCCUCCGGAACCUGCAGACUGACCUCUCGUGUGUAUCUGUGGUGGACUGAGGAAACCACUUGGCUAGCCAAACUAAAUCAUUGAAAAUGGAAGCAGUGGAACUACUUCAAAACCGUGCUUCUGCUUCUAAGCAGAACUGUAAUGU